UUCCUUGCAAGUCGAGUUAUUAGCUUAGUUAUACAUAAGUAUCGGUCAGCAAUGGAUAGUGACUGAUUUCUACGAGAGCACAAAACGUGUAGGCUACAUUUUAAGCUGUAUUUGAAAAGCCCGUCAAGUAAAACGCUUAUUUCUUAAUUAAAGUGGCAGUGUUGUAUUUUGAGACAGGCUUGAACAUGCAAAUAAGCCAAUAGGCAGAGUGGUAGCCUACAUUGUCUAAUUCUCUGUCUGGUAAUAAUAAUUUAUUUUACUUUGACUGAUACUGUAGGUGAUAUACAGUAUUGUUACAUACUGUACUCUACACACUGUGGUUGAAUCAGGACUGAUACUGCAGGUGAUAUACAGUAUUGUUACAUACUGUACUCUACACACUGUGGUUGAAUCAGGAAUGAUACUGCAGGUGAUAUACAGUAUUGUUACAUACUGUACUCUACACACUGUGGUUGAAUCAGGACUGAUACUGUAGGUGAUAUACAGUAUUGUUACAUACUGUACUCUACACACUGUGGUUGAAUCAGGACUGAUACUGUAGGUGAUAUACAGUAUUGUUACAUACUGUACUCUACACACUGUGGUUGAAUCAGGACUGAUACUGUAGGUGAUAUACAGUAUUGUUACAUACUGUACUCUACACACUGUGGUUGAAUCAGGACUGAUACUGUAGGUGAUAUACAGUAUUGUUACAUACUGUACUCUACACACUGUGGUUGAAUCAGGACUGAUACUGUAGGUGAUAUACAGUAUUGUUACAUACUGUACUCUACACACUGUGGUUGAAUCAGGACUGAUACUGUAGGUGAUAUACAGUAUUGUUACAUACUGUACUCUACACACUGUGAUUGAAUCAGGACUGAUACUGUAGGUGAUAUACAGUAUUGUUACAUAAUGUACUCUACACACUGUGAUUGAAUAAGGACUGAUACUGUAGGUGAUAUACAGUAUUGUUACAUACUGUACUCUACACACUGUGAUUGAAUCAGGACUGAUACUGUAGGUGAUAUACAGUAUUGUUACAUAAUGUACUCUACACACUGUGGUUGAAUCAGGACUGAUACUGUAGGUGAUAUACAGUAUUGUUACAUACUGUACUCUACACACUGUGGUUGAAUCAGGACUGAUACUGUAGGUGAUAUACAGUAUUGUUACAUACUGUACUCUACACACUGUGGUUGAAUCAGGACUGAUACUGUAGGUGAUAUACAGUAUUGUUACAUACUGUACUCUACACACUGUGGUUGAAUCAGGACUGAUACUGUAGGUGAUAUACAGUAUUGUUACAUACUGUACUCUACACACUGUGGUUGAAUCAGGACUGAUACUGUAGGUGAUAUACAGUAUUGUUACAUACUGUACUCUACACACUGUGGUUGAAUCAGGACUGAUACUGUAGGUGAUAUACAGUAUUGUUACAUACUGUACUCUACACACUGU